GGAGGCAGAGGGAGGGAGGGAAGGAGGGAAGGAAGGAAGCUGGGAAGAAGCGAGCGAGCGGGGGCGCGAGGCGUUUACCUGGAGGCAGCGGCUUGGGCGCGCAGAGCGGCCGCGGCUCCCCCGCACCUGCGGCCAUGGAUGAGGAGCGCGCCCUCUACAUCGUCCGGGCCGGCGAGGCGGGGGCUAUCGAGCGGGUCCUGAGGGAUUACAGCGAUAAGCAUAGGGCUACUUUCAAAUUUGAAUCAACAGAUGAAGAUAAAAGAAAGAAACUCUGCGAAGGCAUAUUUAAAGUCCUUUUAAAGGACAUCCCAACAACAUGUCAAGUGUCCUGCCUGGAAGUUCUCCGCAUUCUCUCCAGAGACAAAAAGGUUUUAGUUCCUGUAACAACCAAGGAAAAUAUGCAGAUACUGCUGCGACUAGCCAAGCUAAAUGAGUCGGAUGAUUCUUUGGAGAAGGUGUCAGAGUUCCCAGUUAUUGUGGAGUCAUUAAAAUGUCUUUGUAACAUAGUGUUCAACAGUCAGAUGGCACAGCAGCUCAGUCUGGAACUUAACCUUGCUGCAAAGCUCUGUAACCUCCUGAGAAAGUGCAAGGACCGAAAGUUUAUCAAUGACAUUAAGUGCUUUGACUUGCGCUUGCUCUUCGUCCUGUCACUUUUGCACACCGACAUCAGGUCACAAUUGCGCUAUGAGCUCCAAGGACUACCGCUGCUAACCCAGAUCUUGGAAAGUGCCUUUAGCAUCAAGUGGACCGAUGAAUAUGAAUCGGCCAUAGACCAUAAUGGACCUCCUCUCUCACCUCAGGAGACAGACUGUGCCAUUGAGGCCCUUAAAGCUCUCUUCAAUGUGACAGUAGACAGUUGGAAGGUGCAUAAAGAGAGUGAGUCUCAUCAGUUCCGCGUCAUGGCAGCUGUCCUUCGCCAUUGUUUACUAAUCGUAGGUCCAACUGAAGACAAAACAGAAGAGCUACACAGCAAUGCAGUCAACCUUUUAAGCAAUGUUCCGGUCUCUUGUUUGGAUGUUCUCAUUUGUCCAUUAACCCAUGAAGAAACAGCCCAAGAAGCAACGACUCUAGAUGAACUGCCCAGUGAUAAAACAGCUGAGAAAGAAACAGUUUUGAAAAGCAAUACCAUGGUAUACAAUGGUAUGAAUAUGGAAGCCAUUCAUGUCUUACUCAAUUUUAUGGAGAAGAGAAUAGACAAGGGAAGCAGCUAUAGAGAGGGUCUCACUCCAGUUCUCAGCUUGUUAACAGAAUGUUCCCGAGCCCAUCGAAACAUCAGAAAAUUUCUCAAAGAUCAGGUUUUACCACCAUUGAGGGAUGUGACAAAUCGACCUGAAGUUGGCUCAACUGUGAGAAAUAAGCUGGUGCGCCUCAUGACACAUGUUGACCUGGGAGUCAAGCAAAUUGCUGCUGAAUUCCUUUUUGUCCUUUGCAAAGAGAGAGUGGAUAGUCUCCUGAAAUACACUGGCUAUGGGAAUGCUGCAGGACUGCUGGCGGCCAGGGGCCUCUUGGCUGGAGGAAGAGGAGAUAAUUGGUACUCAGAGGACGAGGACACAGACACUGAAGAAUACAAAAAUGCAAAACCAAACAUUAAUCUUAUCACUGGUCAUUUAGAGGAACCAAUGCCAAACCCCAUAGAUGAAAUGACAGAAGAACAAAAAGAAUAUGAAGCCAUGAAACUUGUCAACAUGCUUGAUAAACUUUCCAGGAGAGCAGAUGUGAAGGACCUGCACCAGGAUGGUGGUUAGCAACAGUGGCCCGUGCCAAAGCACUUACCAAAGUGAUGACUAAGGUUGGUCAUGCCAAGUACUAUUACUGAGCCUGGUGUAGGGUACAGAUGUUAUUUACCACCAAAACUGUAAAAACCACCAGUGCAAAAAUUUAAAUUACAUUCCCAUUUUGCCUCCAGGCUGGACAUAGCCACUGCCUCAAGUUGCUCACCACCUUAGCAACUUUAUCUAAGCUAGAUUUUUAAGGAUCCUGGAGAGAUCAGUGCUGAAACAUUUUUUUCCCAUUGAAUACCAACGGACAGUGGUAUUCCAUGUGAUUUUUCUUUUUUUAGUAUAAGGAUUCUGUUUGUGACAGAUGUAGGUAAGGGGAUUGGCAGUGGACCUGGAGGUCUUAAGAGUUUGAGAAUAAUAUAAACCCUAUAAAUCCCAUCAUGUCUAACUAGUACAGUGCCUUGUACCCUGUGAUUUUCCCAGUGUGUUUGAUGAAAUGUCAAAGCUGAUCCCCAAAUCAAAGGUUAAUUUUUUUGCUCAAUAAAAUAGCCUACAUGGUUUAAAGACUUUAAAGUAUACUUUUGUCAGUUCAGUUACUUGGCCAGAUGUCAUAAAAUUUAGGUCUGGAAAGGAAUUCUGUAAAGUACUUUGGUCCAUGAGUGGCUAAUUUAAAUAAUGGGGUGCCUAAUUUCUUUAAUAUAGAAUGAUAAUUGUAAUAUUUAUCAGACAUAAGCAUUAAGGCCUGAGGCAUGGAGAUUAUAGAAAGCUUCAUUUGACAUUUUUAAUGUGAGAACAGAGGUGGGAAGGAGGAUGAAAUUGGCCUGCCUCUCCACCUCUUCUUUCCUUUUUUGAACUGGAAAAAAUAUAAGUCCCUGCAACUUAAGUGGGAGAUUAGAAUUCGGAUUGUAUGUGGUUAAGCAAGUCCAGUGUGGCUAAUACAAUUGCAUUCACCUUAGCUACCGCACACAAUUUGCAUAUAACAGCACAGCCUCCUCCAGAAGAGGGGAGAGAGGAUUGACUGACUUAAGCCUAAACUAACCAAGGGAAGUAAUAUUUCAAGUUUUGUUUUGACUUUUCUAAUCUCCCUUAGUUUCUUAAUUGGAACAGGACUGAUUAAUCUUCUACUCCACACUUAGCCCAUCACUGUUUAACAAGGUACAUUGCCUUUUUGCUUAUAAAUUAUAUCAAAAUCUUCUAAAAUUUACAUCUAUAUAAAUAAUUGUUUUCCAUUUCUUCCCUUUCUUAUCUACUCCUUGUCUAAUAUAUUUUUGCCAGCCAUUGUGUAGUAUUGGUGGGAUAUGGCUUUCUUAAUAAAUGCAAGUACCAAAUAUAGAAAUAGUUCCCCUUAAGUCUCCAAAUAUUAUUUUUAAGCUUAGUAAAGCUGGGACAGGUAGUUUAUGACUGAAAGUAAUAACUAUAUAAUUUUUUCCUUAUAACUAAAUUUCUUGACCCUGCUUAUAAAAAUAACAACUGUGAUUACUCCCACCUUGAUGAGUUAAUCAAGGAAAUGCUUUGUAGGUACAUUUUAGAAAUAUGAUCCUGUAUUUAUAGCAUUGUAAGAUCUAUUGUGGGUAUGAAAGUGUAAGGAUCUUAAUUGCUUACAUCAGAAAAUCCUUUAGAUCUGCACUGUCCAAUAUGGUAACCACUAAUCAUAUAUGACUAUGGCUAGUCUGAAUUGGGAUGUCUUCUGAGUGUUAAAGUACUCAGACAUUCAAAGACUCAGUACAAAAAGAGAAUAUAAAAUACCUCAAUUGUUUAUUAUGAAUUUAUGUUGAAAUAAUAUUUUUGAUAUAUUAAGUUAAGCAAAUUAUUUUAAAACUAAUCUUACCUAUCUUUUCUCACUUUUUUGAUGUGGCUUCUAGAACAUUUAAGAUUACAUAUAUAUGGCUUACAUUAUGUUUCUGUUAGACAGCACUGUUCUACCCCAUUAAAAAUACACUGCAAGUUUGCUUAGAAGCUAAUUAAAGGAACUUGGAUCCAGUUAAACUAAUAUACCCUUACAGUGGUAAAGAAGAAAUAUGAUAUUGUUCAUCUUUAGGUUAAAGAGGGCCUUUCCACUGGCUGGACACCUCUAAGUAGGAUGUCAUGCAAUCUUUGUAUUGCUCAUUAGUAGUCAUUGUCCCUUAACUCUGUAGUAGGAAUGCCUAUGAGCUCUUGAUUUAAGCACUAGCCAAAAUGACUUUUGUUUAUUAGAGAAACAUUAAAUAAGAAUAAUCUCCAUUGACUACUUGCUCUUAGUCACCCUCCUCCUUUAAGUCUUUCUAAUCGAGAAGAGCAUGUCAGAACUUCCAUUUCUACUGCUUUAUUCAACACUGUCAGUUGGCAUGCUGACCUCUUAUUAAUAUUUAUUUUGCUAAUUUUGGACAACAAGAUAGAAAGGUCUGUAGAGAAAUUACCAAGAAAUAAAGAUCACCUUCACUUAAGGGUCAGACUCAGUUUUAUUUUUCUAACACUAUCCCUAACCUCUUUCUCUAUAUUUUCUUAACUAUACUCUUUAAUGUGAGGUGGAUAGCACAUUUUUAGAAGCUUUGCAUGUGAUCUUCUAACAGAAAUGAAAAUAAUAAAAGACUAAUAUUUUGUAUAUUGCUUUUAAGUUUGAAAACAGCCUUGUGAAUUAGAUAGGGUAAGAGAUAUUUUAUUGAGGCAUAAAUGGGACCAGUGAUUAAGUAUCUAAACCAAGAUCAGGCAUCUUGUUAAUAACAGUCAGGAUUUGGUUCUUAGACUUCAGACUCCAAAUCUUAAAUGUUAUUUUAAAAAAUUACCAACAUACAGCUCUCAAAUUUAUCAGUCUGAUUAUCUUUAUUUAGUAAGAUGCUCUAAAUUUUAAAUAGAUUCAAAGGACAAAGACUGAUAGUAAGCAUAUUUACCUGAGAAGAAAAUUAAGAUUUGGAAGCCAUUCCUGCUUUUUCAUUCCAUAAUUGAGCUUUCCUCAAAUAUCAAGUCAGGUCCUAAACAGCUUAUAUCAAAAACAAAAACAGCUUCAUAUGAAGGAAGCCAGUAAAAUUGCUAUAAUUCUAUGUUAAUAUAAAAUAUUUUAAUUAUUUUGAAAAGAGAAUAGAUAUUCUGAUAGAUUCUUAUAUUCAGUGUGAUCAUAUGAAGAAAAUUAACUUUAGAAAGGCUUCCCUAUUUACAAGGCUGUUGCCUGUUUAUUCAACUCCCAAAGUGGAAGGACAUGCAUGGUGUGGACAAUGUACCAUAUCCAUUUCUCUUGGGAAUGAUAUUUUUAUGUUAUAUAUUUUAACUUCCCAACUGUACCCAAUCCCAAAGCAUGACAGUGAGGCUGAGGGAAGGGUCUCAGAAAUGUUUUUGAAAAAUGGAGCUUGAAGACCUCAUAUUUGGUACAGAAAAGCCACCACACCUUUCCUACCUAUUGGUUAGUGGCUUAGUAAAAGAUGAGUAUAACUUCAGCACUAGGAAGCCAUCAGAUGGAAGAUUAUACUAAAGAUGAAGGAUCAGCACAGAACAUGCUCUGAUGGUAUAUGACUAAACAUUUAACUAAUGCCAAAAGUUUUAUUAAUUUCUUGAGGACAAAGCAUUUAAAACACUUCAGAGUAUCACAAGUUUUGAGGAAAUCCAUCGUCCUUCAGUAGAUUAUGGACUAUUCCAUUGAUGCUGAAAUGUUGAAAUAAGAUGCACUGUCAGAAUUACAGCAGGGAUUACAGAGCUUCCUUCUCCGGGCUCUCACAGGCUCCUUCACAGCAGGCAUUUUUGGAAAUGCUCUGUUAAUUAAAAUGCCUUAUUUAUAUACUAAUUUUCAUCCUAUCUUCCAAAUGUGAAAGGGAAUUAAAUAUGAAAUGGCUAAUUUUAAAUGUCAGGGUUCUUUUUUUCCAAGCCAACCUUACAUUAAGAACAGGAAUCCCUGUGCCAAAGAAAUGGUUCCCAAUUAUCCUAUCCUGGGUUUUGUUAUACAUUGUACAGAAGUCAACAAAACAAGUAUGUAACAGAACCUGCCUAAAUAACAGCCACCCUCAUUAAAAUCAGAAUUAAUCAGGGGGCGAUUGAAGGAAGCAAUGCUUCGUAGGUUCCCCCUUUUUCUUCUUUUCUAAUCAUAGAACAAAAUAUGUUACAUAAAAGGAUUGGAACUAUUAUGCAGUACUCAAUUAGAGGGAGGUGAAUAGGUCUCUAACAUGCUGUUUUAUCAAAAGAGCAGACUGGUGUUUGCAUGACUGUUGUUUCAUUACAGACCCUGUCAUUAAUUCCAUGUGUCAAUACUGCCCUGUAGUACACAGAGCAGACAAGAAAGAAGAGCCCUUGAAAACAAGGGAAUGAUUUUUGAGUCGUUAUCAAGCUAAGUGGCAAGCGGGAAGCUGAAACUCGUAUAGUUGAACAUUCUUGGAGGCUUAUCUCUUCCCUGGCCAGAUGCCUGAUCAGAUGAGAAGCCCGCCAUGAUACUGUCACAGUGCCUAGAAUGGGCUCUUUAUCCAGUAGACAUCACUGUACUUUUUGAUGAUAACGAGGGCAGUCUUAACUUGUGUUAAGGCCUGUGUAUAGCAUUGAAGAGAGGAGUUGCUUAAACCAAUGGGACUAAAACCUGAUGGGACAAUAACGCCUUUGGAGGAAGCACUCAACCAGUACUCUGUCAUCGAGGAGACCAGCUCUGACACAGACUGAAAGCGUCACCUGCUCACCUCUCCAUAUUGCUUUUAUCAGCAUCUUUUCUCUGUAGCUCCAGGGGAAUCUUUUCUCUAAAACAUUUAUGCCCUUGCUUUGGCUAGAAACACAUUAACUGGUUUACUCAUUGAGAAUCCAGCGUAUUUAAGAAGUGAUCCUGUGUUUUUGCGAUAUUGAGGCAUUCAUACAGAGCUGCAGUUAGAUGGAGUUGCAGGGACUAGGAACAGGAAAAAAAAAUUCCAUUCUGUCAAGAUGGAGCUGAAGGACUUCACUCUAUAAAGCAGCCCUGGUUGAAUCUGGCAGUUCUGUUUGCCAAGAUUCUUAACAGAAGAUUUAGCUGUGUCCUUCCUCACACUUGUGUGAGCUGCCCUUUCUGAAUCUCUCCAGAGAUGGAGGCACGUGAGAAGCAGAAUGCGCUGCUGAAAGGGGCUGAGGCGAGUGACCCUUUAGAUCAGGACUGAGUGAAUGGAAGCCAAGCAGCUGCUCCGUAGGCCUAGCCCCACUCUUCACUUUGUUUCAAUUUUGUAUAAAUCCAUAGAGACACACACGCGCGCGCGCACGCACACACACACACGCACACACACACAGCCCCAGACUUGCAAACUGAUUACAUUCAAAAAAGUUUGUCAGUUAUCUAGAACUUCAGAAUACAUUUCUCCCUAUAAAGUUACAAAGGAUGGUUUAGUUCUGAGGCAGCUACCAAUGCCUAUUUAUUCCCUAAUAACCUGAACACUAGUACCAUAGAACUGAACCCCCAUCUGUAUUGCUGCAUGGGGAGCAUGCAUUCUGAGGUCUAACAUAGGGGUGCCAGGAAAACACACCCUCCAACCCGGAAGAGGGGAUGGGGAUCCCUGGGUACUGGGAGUUCUUUUGCGGCCUCUGCUGAGGGUGGAGGAGACGGCAGCACCCAUUUGUACAUAUAGGUCAUUCGUAUGUCACAUGUUUUAAGUUGGGGACUGUGUGUGCUUGUGUGUGUUCUACCUUCCUACCAUAUGUGAUCAGUUUAAUGGUAACUUUAUUUAUUUAAAAAAGAAACACAGAUAGUUACUGUUAAACUGAUUAAGGCUGUUUUUACUUUGGUAAAACAGAUUGGUCAUAUGAAAAAGUAGAAAAUGAAUCAUGCAAUAGACAGUGGGCCUAGUUAAUCAAUGGCUAAAGUUGAAAAGGGGUUGGUUUCCUCUUAUAUAUAUAUAUAUGUAUGUAUGUAUAUACAUAUAUAUAUAUACACAUAAUGUGCUUAACCACUGCCUUUUAAAACUUUAAAUUAAAUAAAACAUUGGGGUUGAUUCAAUUUAGCCAUUUGUGUGUGUUUCUUUAUAAACAAUACUAUUUAUUGUUUAUUGGGGUAAACAAUACUAUUUCACAGUUUGUUCUUUUUUAAAGUGCUUUUACAUCUAUUAUCUCAGUUGUAAUAAAUAGUUUUUCUAAGGAUAAAGUACACAGAGUAUUAGUGAAAUGUCAUUUAUCCAGAAGUCACUUCUCUGGCAAAAAGUACAAAUCAGGAAUUCAGUUUUAAAAGGCCUUUGAGCUGCCAAAAGAGAUGUCAAAGUUUCUUACAAUUUAUUUCUACGUGAGAGCCUCAAGAAUCUAUCUCACUCUUUGCCUCUUUACUAAAAUUUGCAUAUAUUUCUAACAUGUUUAGUUAUCUUGACUUUCACGUCCACCAAAAAAGAAAAAUGUCAAAGGAGGAGGCUGUUGGAUGGAAGGCAGACCUACUGAAAGCAGAAAAAAUCCAACUGAAAACUGGAUAGGAAUGUGGGGAGAAUGAGAACUACUUGAGGCAUCCUAAGUCUGGGACCAUCUGUUUCCCAAAGGACAUUCCAGUUGACCCAGAAAGUAUCCAUACAAUAGUAUGGCCUGUAAACUAAUUCUCAUGAUGAUGACCUUGUGUUUCUUUUUUAAAAAAAGUUAAAUCCAGAAUACUCUAUAAAAAGACCAGAAAGAACACAAUACAUUUUAGGAUUUUCAUCCAAAAUAACGGGAAUGGAAGUUAUGGGCGACCCAUGUUUUAACAGUAAAUAAAGUGAAACUUGGUAAUUCAUAAUUUUAGAUUAAGUGAAAAAAAGUUUAGAGAAAAAGAAUUUUAAGUAUUUUUGUUACUUCAUUCUACAAAUGCAUUUUUAAGAUAUUUUUAUAAUUUCUGCAAUCAAAUAGCUUUGGCAUGAGUGUCGCUUACCUAAGAUGAAAUACCAUCUGGCCAGCUUUAUGCAGAGUUAGUGUGUGAACAGUCUUGUUUAAGUUGCUGUGCUCCUCUGUUUUCAGUGAGUUCUGUUUCAUUUUGGAUUUCUCUGUGCUGGGCACUAGGCUUUGUUUUGAAGAGAGAAUUUGCAGAGGGAGAAGAUGAAAGUGACUUCAUCUUGCACAUGGAAAGAGAACCAACAUCUGUCGCUUGCUUGCUCUGUGCUGGGCUUUUUAUGUAUCUUUAUCUUGUGUAUCCUCAUCACAUCUCAUGUUAGAGAUCAUCUCUGGAAAGCACAGUAAGUUACCCAACAUCACACAGCAAGUUAGACUCCAGGUCGGGCUGGCCUGACCCCCCCGCACCUCACCUUCCCCUUUACAUUGCCCACGGGGUCCUCCUGGUGCCUCCCUAUGACUCUGGAAUGCUGGGAGACUGGUAAUUCUCGGGCCAUUUUAAGCAAUAACUAUUUCAGCAUAACUGGUUUAAAGAACUUAUUAAGUAGGGAGGUGACCCAAAUGACGUUGAAGUAUGAGCAGGAAACUUGCUCAGUUAGUACUGAAUUUCAGAUAAGGGCGUGGAAUCCUUUAGGUCAGAAAUUAGGGCUGCAGGCUCCCCAACACCGCCCCCCUGCCCUGACCCUCGACAUGUCCUGGCUCAGUGACCUGCAAUGGGGGUGGUGAGAAUACACUGGCCAGCUUCGCUCUGCAGGCCCCUGUGUCCACAUCCCUCCCAAUCUUUAAAAACAGGGUAUGGGGAAGAAAAUGGCAACCCACUCCAGUAUUCUUGCCUGGAAAAUCCCACGGACGGAGGAGCCUGGUAGGCUACAGUCCACGGCGUCGCAAAGAGUCGGACACGACUGAGCGACUUCACUAUGGAGAAGAAAGUUCGAACAUAAGGCGCUUGAGCUGCUGCUUUAGAGUAACAAUCAGCAAAUACCUGAGGCCCUUUCAAGCCCCUUUCACACACCCACUGGUCCUGAGAGGUGGACAGGAUGGACCUUACUGUCCCUCCUUUAUAAACAAAGAUGUGGGCAGAGGUGGUAUAAGUAUGCAACCUCCCCUUCACAACCAUCAGUCUUGCUGCCUCCCAGUACUAGAUGUCUCUUAUGUUGACUUCCCUUCCCCUUUGGAUUUUAAAAAUAAAUGUUUCAUCGUGGAAAGUCUGGAGAAUACAGAAAAUACUAAAGUUAAUCAUUCACCCCACAACCCACCACCUGAGAUAGUCUCUGUUAAUGUUUCAGUGUAUUUCCGUCCUGUGUUUUUUCUAUGCGUAUAUAAUUUAUUUUACUACUAGAUUGGGAUCAUGCUGUAUUUACAGAUUUGUAUCCUGCUUUCUUCUUUAACAUACUGUAAGCAU